GAUGAACGCUGGCGGCGUGCCUAAUACAUGCAAGUCGAGCGAACGGACGAGAAGCUUGCUUUUCUGAUGUUAGCGGCGGACGGGUGAGUAACACGUGGAUAACCUACCUAUAAGACUGGGAUAACUUCGGGAAACCGGAGCUAAUACCGGAUAAUAUUUUGAACCGCAUGGUUCAAAAGUGAAAGACGGUCUUGCUGUCACUUAUAGAUGGAUCCGCGCUGCAUUAGCUAGUUGGUAAGGUAACGGCUUACCAAGGCAACGAUGCAUAGCCGAACUGAGAGGGUGAUCGGCCACCCUGGAACUGAGACACGGUCCAGACUACUACGGGAGGCAGCAGUAGGGAAUCUUCCGCAAUGGGCGAAAGCCUGACGGAGCAACGCCGCGUGAGUGAUGAAGGUCUUCGGAUCGUAAAACUCUGUUAUUAGGGAAGAACAUAUGUGUAAGUAACUGUGCACAUCUUGACGGUACCUAAUCAGAAAGCCACGGCUAACUACGUG
rnacentral:rRNA from 1 species